rnacentral:tRNA from 1 species
UAUGAAAGAUUGUUUGAUGCAUAAAGAAUUUUGACUUCUUUGGUUUCAGUUUAAUUCUGGAUUUCAUAG